GCCUUGAUAGCGCAGUAUGCAGCGCGUGAGUCUCCUAAUCUCGAGGUCGGGAGUUCGAGCUUCACUCGGGGCA
rfam:Daphnia magna strain Xinb3 contig06906, whole genome shotgun sequence.